rnacentral:lncRNA from 10 species
AUAAUAAUAAUAACAGCUGAUAUUAAGGGAGAACUUACUAGAAGCUAAGCAUUCUUCUAUGCUUUUUAUAUUUAUUUUAUUCAUUCAACCCCAACAGUUAUAUGGAGUUGCACUAUUAUUAUUAGCUCCCAACUUAUAGAAAAGGAAACUGAAACACAUGUGUGUUGAGCAAACUGUGAUAUGUAGGAAGACACAGAGCUGAUUCUGAACCCCGGCAAUGUAGCUGAGAGUGUGCAAUCUAAACCACCAGUAGCACUGCCUCCAAAUCCAGUGAAGUGAAGGCAAAUCCUGCUGUGGCCAAACCACGAAUUUUUCUAGAGACUCCAGUCCCUAGGCUCCUGCCAAAAACCUCAAGGACUCAAAAUGGAGCCUCAAAAUAAUCCAUCAAUAGUAUUUAGGAAAUACUCUUUACACACAGAGUACUUUAUCUAUUACUGGUCUCAAAGACACACCUCAUUCAUUGGGUUACCAUUACUGAGGUAAUUUUUAAAUUACCUCAGAAUUUAAUUUAAUUUAAUUUUAAAAUUACCUCAGUAGAUAAAUAAUGUAAGAGACAGGCAAAAUACACAUAAAAUCUCUUUUUUUCUCUCUGUCUUUUAAAUGGGCCUGGUAUUGAACAAAUAGAGUGUAUGGGUUUUUCUUCCAAAGUACUAUAUACUGCUUGAGAGGAUAAAAGAGAUUGAAAAAACUUUGUAACAGAUAUUACAACUGUAAUGCAAAAUUCACGCAUAUGUACAGAAACCUCUAUCACGUUCCAACUCUAAUACCACAUCACAUUCAAAGCAAAGCAUAUUUGAUAAGACAAACCACAAGUCUUACAGAUGGAUAUAGGGAGACUUGGUCCAUCCUGGUGUUUGGGUGAUGGAUGCAUUAAAAGCCAAGACUUCGCCACUGUGCAAUACAUGCAGCUAAAAAGCAGUACCCCCAAAUUAAUAUAAAUAGAUAUAAGCAUGUAUGUGCAGGUAAAAAGCAGUACUCCCAAAUUAAUAUAAAUAGAUAUAAGUAUGUAUGUGCAGGUAAAAAGCAGUACUCCCAAAUUAAUAUAAAUAGAUAUAAGUAUGUAUGUGCAGGUAAAAAGCAGUACUCCCAAAUUAAUAUAAAUAGAUAUAAGCAUGUAUGUGCAGGUAAAAAGCAGUACUCGCAAAUUAAUAUAAAUCCAUACGUGGAGGUAACAAAACAGUACUCCCAAACUAAGACAAAUAAAAAUAAAUACAUGCAUACAUUUUGGGCUACAGCUCCAAACUACUCUGCAUUAUCCCUAUGCCAACAAGACUAAAUUACAAGAUGUCAGCAAGCUCAUUUGUCUUUUCACAGUUUUCUCAUCUAAAAUGGUAAUAAUCAAACCUACCUUACUUAGUUUACAGCUAUGCUUUGAGAGUUUUUAAUGUGAAAUAUAAAUAUAUAAAACAUAUACAAGUUCAGUGAGUGUCAAGGUUUCUACAUAUGUUACAAAAAAAGGUGAAGUGUCAUGCAAACACAGAACAGAAACACAAGCCCAUAAGUCUAGCCAGAGAAAUCCAGAAGAAAAAAAGCCUACUGAAGAGAAACUAUCUUAUAUCUAAUCAAGCUUUCAAAAUACAAUAACUACAUCAUGAUAACUGACAAGGCAUUUGUGGGAGGAAGGGAGUGUGGGUCGCUUCUUUAUUACCUACACCAAAAAUAUAAAAUUACAAAUUAUAUAUUUAAACAUUUAAAAAAUACAACUACAAUCAGAAAGCAUGACAGUUAUUUUUCCUUUUUUUCCCAAUUAUCUUGAAUAAGUAUACAUCAUAAGCCAAGUUGCAAUUCUCGAAAGUUAAAAAGCAAAACAUAGAUAAAUUGUAUUACCUAUUUAGAAAAAUUUACACUCUAAGAAACACUUUUGGCCAGAUGUAGUCAGAGAAUUAGAGAGUAAAGAGACUAUUCUACAUGGUGUAGAAUUCAUAGAAUAUGUGUGGUACACAUACGCAGGCCCUGACGUCCUUUCUUCCUCCCUGUGUGAUAGAAAAGCAGACCACAGGGGGCCCCAGCAGCACAGAGAAAGCAAGUACCAAGGAGUCAGUGCUUGGAGGGCAGACAGGUUGAACAGAUCCCAGUGUUCCCAAUUCUCUGCGUUCUGGGGUUCUAGGGGUUGCAAUCACCACUCUAAGUGCUUUCCAUUACUUUUGCUGGCUAAAGAGGUUAUUUCACUUCCCACUCCUGAUUGCUCCCUGUAUCCCCUCCUCCCAGUCCUCUUCACUCAGGGCCUUCUCAACAUG